GUAUAUUUAUACCCGAAAUUUACAAAUCCAGCCAUAUAUAAUCGAUUUCAACUUAAAUUUCACAAAAAAGUGAGUUUUUUUCACAUAUCCGAUUUAUUGAACAAGGAUUUUAUCUAAUGCAGAUAUUUGUUGGGCAAUUUGCUUUGCCCGACUUGUACAAGCUCUUUAUAAUAUUGGACGUCCUGUCAACCAACAUGUGCAGUUUUCUAUAGCUGAAUUGAUAGAUCAUAUCAAGCCUGGUGAAUCAGAAAACUUUGAACUUGCCAAUCUGAAAAUUGCUUUUGAUCACAUUGCUGAUAAAGGAAUCUUGAAGGAGCCAACAACAUCAAACAAAUCUCAAAAGGCCAAUGCUCAGGGGAUGAGAGUUCAAGAAACUUUACAUCUUUAUGAAAAUGUGAACGCUGACUUUAUCCGAGCAAGACUGAAUAGAUAUCCAGUUGCUUUGAUAGUGCAGGUGGAUGUUAAGUUUCUAAAGCUUGGACAGGAGGGGGUUUAUCACUUGCCAAAGAAACAUCCCAU